GCCGGGUGCGGUGGCGCGCGCCUGUAAUCCAAGCUACUGGGAGGCUGAGGCUGGCGGAGCGUUUGAGCUCAGGAGCUCUGAGCUGCAGCGGACUAUGCCGAUCGGGUGUCCGCACUAAGUUCGGUAUCGAUAUGGUGCUCCUGGGGGAGCCCGGGACCACCAGGUCGCCUAAGGAGGGGUGCACCGGUCCAGGUCGGAAACGGAGCAGGUCAAAGCCCCCGUGCCGCUCAGUAGUGGGAUCGCGCCUGUGAAUAGACGCUGUAGUGCAGCCUGAGUAAUACAGCGGGACCCAGUCUUU
ensembl:misc_RNA Metazoa_SRP Metazoan signal recognition particle RNA